UCGUUUAACUGUAAUCUGAUUACUCUGAGGUGACAGUUUGGAUUUUGGUAUCAGUGAUCUUAUAUGAAGAUAAAAUCUGUCAUUUCGACUCCUCAGUAAGAUGUGUGAUCCGGCUGUGACUGCGUUCGAGCCUGAGGCGUUGGGGAAUCUGGUCGAAGGCCUGGACUUCCACCGUUUCUACUUGAGAACUUGUGGUCCAAGAACAGCAAGCCAGUCCACACCACCAUCCUGAACCCGCACAUCCACCUGGUGGGCGACGAGGCCGCCUGCAUUGCCUACAUCAGAGUGACACAGUACAUCGAUGCCAACGGGACACCUCGCACCGCCCAAUCAGAGGAGACCAGGGUGUGGCAUCGCCGCGACGGAAAGUGGCAGAUUGUCCAUUUCCACCGCUCAGGCUCCGCCUCCACGCUCAGCAACUAACUUCCAAAGUGGGCGGGGCUUUGAUGGGCCACCGUCGCCUUGACUACAGAUUGAUUGACAGCAGGCCAGGCGUCUGACACCAACCAAUCCGGAUUUUGUUUGAGAAGAUUGAUGAGAACAAAACGGCGGAGGAGACGACGGGCCGGAAACCACAUCAUCAAUCAAUCAAUCAAUAAUCAACUUGCCAACCCCUUCUCAGCUCGUUUGAACGUCAGCCACGCCCCCCUCAUGAUCAGCCAAUCAAAUCUUUUGUUGUAGUCUAGCUGCACACAUGGUAAUAACAUGUGGAAACCUUGUAUCUCCAGCUUUUCUUCCUCUGCAGGUUCAGGAGGUUUAAGCAGGACAAACAUCUGUUGACACCACAGCAUGAACAUCUGGCCAUCCAGGAGGUGGUUAGCAUAGCUUAACGUAAACAGUGGAAACAGGGGAAAACUGUUAGCCUGAUUUACAUGAUGUUAACUAAAGUAGAAAAACUGCUAAUUUCAGAUGUUUGGACUCAAAGUCACAUUUAGUUCUUACUUAACCUUUUAGUUCGAGCGUUAGCUAUCUCGUUAGCGAGCUUGUUAGCUUCACCUAAAUCACCUUUAAUCAGCUAAAACUGACUUUCUUUAACAAUAACAAUAAUAAGUGUGGGCUCUGUGUUCUAGUCUUCUGGGAGAUACAAGGUUUUCAACAUUUCUGUUUUUAUCUGCAGAGUCCAGGAGUUGCCCCUGUCACUAAUAAUAAUCGAUUAUCUCAUGAUCACAACUAGAAGACGAACCAGAACAAACUCCAAGUUUUUAUAUGAUGUUUUAAUAUUUUCAUUUUUUACAUUUUUAACGGAACGUUUUAAAUGUGAAUAAUUACCACAAAAACAGAAAAAUAUCCGUUUCAAACAGCUAAAUAUUAGGCAGACUUCGUGUUUUAUUCUCACCAGUCGUCAUGAAUCAUUAGAGUCCAAGUAUUACCCUCAGCCUCAGACCCUUUUAAAACCCUUGGGCUUAUUUUUUACGGUCCGAGCACCACGUUAUUAUUAUUAUACUUUAUUCGUCCGCAGAAAGAAAGACAUUUUUGAGGCCCUAAAAAUACUUGAAAACUCUUGAAAAUUUGCUCCAAUCUGCCUGAAACUUUACAUGUGUGAUCAGAGUCCGGCCUUCAUCAGGUACAUCGGUCAAAAUCUACUUUCAGUCACAGCACCACCUGGUGGACAUGAUUGGAUUGGCUGACUAGUACGAAUGCAAGGACUCGUUCAACACUACUUGCAGGUUUAAUUCGUCUUUUUCAGUCUUUGUCCGUCUUUUGAAUUGUAAUUUUGGUGGCCUAAAAAUACUCAAAAACACGUGUAAAUUUGCACACACAUCAGGACCGACAAUAAAUUUGAUAUUUACGGGAAUGGCACACAUGUGAACAAAAAAUGGCUCAAUAGCGACCCCUGCAAAUUUUCAAACUUUUAUUACGACCAGUAUGUAUGACUUAGACUUAUGAAGUUUGGUACACAUAUGGAACUCAUCAAGAUACACGAAAGUGUGUUUGACAUCCAUGCCCAAAACACCACAGGAAGUCGGCCAUUUUGAAGUAUGUGUCAUAUUUUGGACCAAUUUUUGCACAUUUUCAAAAGCUAUAAACUCAAACACGGUAACCCCGACAGAGCUGAAAUUUGGCCAGGAUGUACAGCAGGCAUGGGUGUUCUUAUUGAAAUGCUCCACAAAAGUCUGACAGCCGGUGGAAUUUUGACGUUUUGCCGUGGAACCGGAAGUGCUGCGUAACUACUCUGUACAUGCUCCAAUCUGCCUCAAACUUUACAUGUGUGAUCAGACUCCAAUCCUGAUCACAUCCAUAGGCCAACAUACACUCUCAGUUGCAGUGCCACCAGGUGGACAUGCGUGGGAUAGCCAAGCCACAAGGAUGCGAGGACCCGACCAGCGCUACUUGCAGCUUUAAUUGGACCAUUCAGCGCUGCUUGCGGUUUUAAUAUCUGUUUUCUUUGGCUUUAACACUGAAAUAUAAAUCAUUUCUGUAAUCUGAAAUUAUUCUUUGAAAAGCAGCAAACUGUUGAUUUUUAAAACCGUUUUUGACCUCAGUUCAUCUCGCACUAGAUGCUAUAAAUAUAAAAGUUUUCAGACACUAUAAAUGUAAAAGUUAUCUUCAGGUGUUGUGAUCUUGAGAUGAUUCAGGUUCUCCUGGACUCUCAGAUUCUUUCUCUGUAAUAUUUAAAUUGUACAAGUGAUGAGGUUUGGACGCUCAUCUCUCUGCUUCCAUCGGAGCGCCAGAGGCUUCCAUUGCUGUCUGAGAUCUUCCAUGAACCCCCUACCCCGUUCUAACGAGCAACCUUAACGAAGUACAUUAACGAGGAACCUUAACGAGCUGUCUGCCUGCACUUCAUUGGAGAAGAAACUUUAUCAUUCAGAGUUUACAGAGAGAUUUAACAGAAGGCAGUUUACUGGGAGAGGAAGAAGUAAAUCAAAAUAAAGGAGCUCAGGAAAAUGGAGGUCGUUUAGUUUCAGAAUCCAAAAUAAAUUCAAUCAUUUCAAACUUCAAAUUUAGGAGAACAUGACAAUUAGACGGGAAUUCAUCAACUGACCUGUUUCUGGGGGACGAACAAACUGACUUGAACUUUAGAAUUUUCACAUUAAAACGGCAAAAAAAGACUCGCAUGACGCUCAGACAGCCAAUCAGAAUCACCCGUCUGACCAGAGUCUGUUGAGAUAAAGUACGGAGUCCCAGAAGUGACCAGACUCACUGACAGGUUUUAAUCAAUACAAAAACAUCCUCUGUGUAUCGAUUAAAACGACAGAAAACAUUUGAAACCAUCUGAACUUUUAAUGCAGAAGCUGAACACUUUCAGAGGUUUGAGUUUUGGCCAGUUUGUCCCCUCCGGGCCUCCGUACUGCUGAUAUCCGGCCUCCCGCUGUGUCGGGGUGUCGGCGGUGUGAAACCUCAUAUCUCCGCCAGGUUUUUGUUGUUGUUGUUGUUUUUUGGAGCCUUAAUGAUCUAAUAACUCAGAGUUUAACCUUCAACAUUAAAGCUGCAUCUUGGAUUGUGAAGUGAAAUAUUAACCUGCUCAGAGUCUCGGUGUUUCUUCAGGAGAUAUGAGGUUUUGUUUGGCUAUCGCUGGACUUCUGCAGCUUCUUUUCUUCCUCUUCAGUCUUUAUUUAUGUACAGAUUCUGUGAUUUUACUGCAUGCUGGACUUGACUUUGUGUUUUGUGUUUUUCGGCUGCUUCGCGCUCCGACUCGGACUAGGUUAGCGUGGCUAGCAUCCCUCAUUGGAAGCAGUGGUGUCUGCUAGCCACAAGCUAAUAAAAUGCCAACACCGCGGACUUUGAUAUUCUGCAACUUUUGAGCCGUUGUGUUCGUCUCAGAGGCUUUAAGCAGCUUUUUACCGUCGGGAGAAUGUAGAACUUUGUACAAUCAGAUUCUUACUAUGACUUGGGAUGUUAUUACUCUGAUAUAUCGCGUUUGUAUGUGGAAGCUUUGUAAUGUUGGAUCGGACUUGCUCGCGUCGUGUGAAUCCACUUUGUGCAUUAUGAGCUUUUUGACUUCUGUUAGUAUGAGAAGUAUUUUAGAGUGUGAACCGCUGAAUGUGUCGCUUCACCGCUGCUUUUAUUUACUCGACAUCUGGGCACCGUUUGGCUUCCUGCUCGGCAACACUCAAAGUCCAGGAGGCCGAACGUCGAAUGGCUUUGGUGUUUUAGUGCAGCUGUUCUCAUCACUGGGGUCAUUCCAGAACUGGAGGACAGGUCUGAAAAUAAAGCAGGUUUCUGCUCCAUAUUGAUCAAUAAUAGGUACUGAUUGUCUCAUUUUUAUUCCAUGUUUCUGUGUUGUUGCUAACCCUACUCUAAUCCAUGCUAAUGUGAUCUUUUUCUCAGCAGUAGAAGCUAGAUAUUUAGCUAGCUGUUAAUGCUGACCACUGAUGGAAAACAGUCCAAAGAAUGAGUCUGAUCCUGAUAAUAUGAGGUAGAGAGAGACAUUCAAUCAAGGCUGACAAUGAAAACGACCAAAACUACAAAAAUGUGACACAAAACGGCAAAAACGUCAUCAACAGGUUCUGCUAACAUGUUGUGUGAUACGUUCAAUGUAUAAUAAUUAUUUAAAAAGUUAUGUUGACUAAAGAUGGGCCUGGGAUCUUUCUGCAUGGAGUUUGCAUGUUCUCCCUGUGCAUGCGUGGGUUUUCUCCGGGUACUCCGGCUUCCUCCCACAGUCCAAAAACAUGCUGAGGUUAAUUGGUUACUCUAAAUUGUCCGUAGGUGUGAAUGUGAGUGUGAUUGUGUGUCUGUAUAUGUAGCCCUGUGACAGACUGGUGACCUGUCCAGGGUGUCCCCUGCCUUCACCAGAGUCAGCUGGGAUAGACUCCAGCACCCCCCAUGACCCUAGUGAGGAUAAAGCGGUGGAUAGAGAAUGGAUGGAUGGAUGUUGACUAAAGAAUGUUCUCAUAAUUACAGAGAGAUCAAUGAAAAGUAAAACCAAAAAACAGUAGAUUUAAAUUAGAUUGUGUUUUAUUAGAGUAACAGAUCGGUCAUCAGGGGGGUGGACAAGAGAAAAAUGGAUUUUAGAGGAACUCCAGACUUUUUUUUGUUAUUUUAAAGGUAUUUCAAACAUUCUUUUCUCCUAGUUUUUAUAGAUUUGGUCUCAGGACAAGAACAUUUACACAACUACUGAUGUUUUAGGGUUUUCUACAUGGAUUAUUUGACGUAGAACGUUCUCCAGUUCUGGUUCUGUUUAUAGUUCCUGUCUUUCGGCCUCCUAGUCUUUGAGCUGCAGCGUCGGGACUCCAGGGGACGCUGUGAGUGAAUGGCUGUUUUCUACCGUAGAUAAUCCGUGUUUUCUAAACUCACUCUGACCUUUGACGACACUUGAAAGUAUUUAGUGGAAAUCUCCGGGGAAAACGUUCCUGCGAAUAUCUGAGAUGUCAUUUUUUUACAACUUUAUUGGUGUUUAUGCUUGAACCAGUAGAUUUGAAACGUUCUCCAUCAGCUGUGAUGUUUGUUCCUGUGAGGCUCAACAGCUUCUUUAGCGGACGACGCUAAAGACUCAGCAGGUCGGAAGUUUAUGUUCUGCACCUUCGCCUGCGGCUCUGAGCGCGCUCAGUACAGGACGCUUUUCUACUGACGUGACGGGAAACAGAAGGACGGACUUCCUGUCACCAGCAGGAGGAGAACCUGUUAGCAUAGUUAGCUGCUAACAUUAGGAGGCAAAUAAUGCUAACCUCAUUGGUCCAGGAUGGACUUCCUGUUGCCUGCAGGAGGAGAACCCAUUAGCAUAGUUAGCUUCUAACACUAGGAUGGCCCGUUAGCAUAGUUAGCUGCUAACAGUAGGAGAACCAGUAAGCAAAGUUAGCUGCUAACACUAGAAUACUAAUAAUGCUAAUGUCAUUGGUCCAGGAGGGACUUCCUGUCACCUGCAGGAGGAGAACCCGUUAGCAUAGUUAGCUGCUAACACUAGGAGGACUUCUUAGCAUAGUUAGCUGCUAACACUAGGAUAACCCAUUAGCAUAACUAACUGUUAACGCGAGGAGAACUUGUUAGCAUAGUUAGCUGCUAACACUAGGAGGACUUCUUAUCAUAGUUAGCUAGCUGCUAACACUAGGAGAACACAUUAGCAUAGCUAGCUGCUAACACUAGGAGGCUAACAUGCUGUUUCCCGUCCGGCUGCUCUGCAGGACCAAUAAUCAGCGAUCACUAAUCGAUUUGGGGCUUUUCUACUCUGCUGUGGUGUUUCUGCUGCAUGCUCGGUGUGGAACUGUGAGCGUGAGUGAGAGAGAGGCUUUCUAAUGUCUUCUUUUGAACUUUUCAGUCGUUUUAAUCUUCUUCUUCUUCUUCGUGUUCAAAGUGUUUCUGUAAAUAAACUGAGGUGGUCAAAUGCU